GUCGUGAGACAGUUUGGUCCCUAUCUGCCGUGGGCGCUGGAAGUUUGAGGGGAUCUGCUCCUAGUACGAGAGGACCGGAGUGGACGCACCUCUGGUGUACCGGUUGUCACGCCAGUGGCACCGCCGGGUAGCUAUGUGCGGAAGGAAUAACCGCUGAAAGCAUCUAAGCGGGAAGCCCCUCCCAAGAUAAGUUCUCCCUGGGGACUUGAUCCCCCUGAAGGGCCGUUGAAGACUACAACGUUGAUAGGCUGGGUGUGGAAGCGCUGUGAGGCGUUGAGCUAACCAGUACUAAUUGCCCGUGAGGCUUGACC
rnacentral:rRNA from 11 species